UUAGUGGAUUCGCCUGUUGACACCGGCACCCUGGUCAUGACCACCAUCUCACCAGGGUUAGGUUAGGCAGGUCCGCCAGGG